rnacentral:lncRNA from 1 species
CGGCUGGGCGUUCUCGAACCUAUGGCUGAACUCAUCAUUCAUUGCCACCAGCAUUAUGCACCGAACGGUGGUGCGAUCGUUGAGCCACUUCUGGUAAGUGUCUCGGACCAUCCCUCUAGCGUUCGGGGCUGGCUCCUCAGGUGCCGGAUCCGUUACUACAUAAAGGAUCCGUUCAUGCUCAAGGAUGAUUUUUAAUUUUCGACACCAGCUA